GCUAUUUUUUCCACCCAGAGCAGAAAUGCAGAUGCGUUAUUCCUCAAGCUGUUUGUAGGCAGCAGCUCACUAAGACAUCAGGCCUGCAGCAUUUUUUAACUACAGAUAUAUUAAGAGGCUGGACACGGCAUAAGCAUUCCUGGCAGGUAGGAAAGAGGGGUUGGGACCUGAUAGUGAAAGGGCACAAGAAUUAGUAACUGCAAGAGAAGAGCUGCCCAACCCAAGCAUAUUCUGCAACCAACUCUUUAACAACUCUUUUUCUGCAGAAAAACAAAAAAACUAAACCUGCAUUCCAAAAUAACAUGAUUUUGAAAACAUGGGGAGAAAAGAUUAAAGAAGAGAGACACAGCCAAACCACCUCACAUCACAGAAGCCCCAUCCUCUGCACCUCUUAAAACCUCCUUGUUUUGGAAGGGCUUUUUUUUCUUAGGCGAAAGGGUAGGCAUGGGCCAGGACUAGUUGUGUCCUGAGCAAAGUGGCACCAUGAAGGAAAGAGAAUGUAAGGAGCAGCCUGAAGAACAACGAAAAGCAGUGAAGUUGAGGUUUUGGUGUUGUGGGGUUUUUUGUGUUUAAGUCAAGUUUUUAAGUGCUGCCUGUCAGAGAAAGCAGCCUUUCUCUGCUCGCCCCUUCGGGAUCCCUCGGCGCACCCUCACCUCACAACACCGCGCCGCCCCGGGGAUCCUGCGCCUCACAGACCCCCGCCGCCUCCGGACACCCGCCCAGCCGGAGACGGGGACCCCCCCAGCUCAAACUGAAGGCGGCUGGAAGGAAGGGAAUCAGCCUCAUUCAGCCGCCCCCGAUAAUGGCACGGAAAUUGUGCCCUACUCAAGUCAGGAUGCAAUACUUGCCUUAGUAAUUUUCUCCCUCUUCUCCUUUCUGCCGAUGUGAAUCUACAAUGUUUGGAGGAUGCAAGCCCUGAGUAUGAACAGUAGGCAACCUCUUGUUUGUGUGAUGAGAACCAUAAUUUUGAGGAACUUGGUAGGUUCUUGAAAAGAACAGAAUGGAAACAGAAUCUCAUUUCCUCUUUCUUUGGCAUCCAUUUUUGGUUACUUAUUAAUUCUAAGGGAAGAGUAACACUGGAGAAAAGCAUUCAACACUCAACACUGGCUUUUCUUCUGUAACUCUGAAGUAAGCGCAAUGGUUAAUUAAUGGCCAGAUCUGUGAAUGUGACUAUACGACUGACAUGCGUAGGAGUAAUGACAUGAGUUUGGAAAACUACUUUCAGAGACAAAUAAAGAGUAUUACAUACAUUGCA
rnacentral:lncRNA from 1 species